rnacentral:rRNA from 1 species
CCUACGGGAGGCAGCAGUGGGGAAUAUUGCUCAAUGGGGGAAACCCUGAAGCAGCAACGCCGCGUGGAGGAUGAAGGUUUUCGGAUUGUAAACUCCUUUUGUUAGAGAAGAUAAUGACGGUAUCUAACGAAUAAGCACCGUCUAACUCCGUGCCAGCAGCCGCGGUAAUACGGAGGGUGCAAGCGUUACUCGGAAUCACUGGGCGUAAAGGGGGCGUAGGCGGGAUAGCAAGUCAGAUGUGGAAUCCUAUGGCUUAACCAUAGAACUGCAAUUGAAACUGUUAUUCUAGGGUAAGGGAGAGGGAGGGGGAAAUCUUGGGGGAGGGGUAAAAACCGUAG